UUUCCGUAGGUGAACCUGCGGAAGGAUCAUUAUUGUAUAACCGAGGUGCGAGGGCUGUCGCUGACCCGAAAGGUCGUGCACGCCCGAGUGCCCUCACACACAUCCAUCUCACCCCUAUGUGCACCACCGCGUGAGUCCCCCUUUGGCUUGUUCGGAGGGGGGCUUACGUUUUCACACAAACUUUGUAUGCAGUGUAGAAUGUAUUUUCUGUUUUUGCGAUCACGCAAUCAAUACAACUUUCAACAACGGAUCUCUUGGUUCUG
rnacentral:misc_RNA from 1 species